rnacentral:lncRNA from 1 species
AUAUAUAAUAAUAUUUGUAGCACUAUAUCUAGUUUUAAAAAAUGAAAGCAAUCUCAAUGUCUUUAAGUAAAAAGGCUAAGUAAAUUCUGAUACAUCUACUCCAUGAAAUAGGAUGCAAGCAAAAAAAAAGUUAUAAAGAAUAAUUUAAAGCAAAAUGCAUGCUUAAGCUUUGUAAAGAUUAUGUCUGCAGUGUAAAGAAUGAAAACAUUGGAUAUGCACAAUUUUCUCUCUCCAGGUUCCCAUUUCUACUAAAGACAAAUCAUGAUAGGACAGAUUUGCUUUAUUAUACUUGGACUGAGUAUUUGUAUACAGUGCAGCAAGAAUAAUUUUUUUUACAUAGGCUUUUAAAUUGACUUUGAUGGAACUUCGUAGGGUGGAGUGCAGUGGCAUGAUCGUAGCUCAUUGCACCCUUAACCUCCUGGGUUCAAGUGAUCCUCCUGCCUCAGCCUCCAAGUGGGACUACAGGUGUGUGCCACCAUGCCCGGCUAAUUUUUUGCUUUUGUAGAGAUGCAGUCUCACUCUGUUGCCCAGGCUAGUUUCAAACUCCUAGCCUCAAGCAAUCCUCCCGCCUCAGCUUGCCAAAGUUGUUAGGAUUACAGGCAUGAGCCACUGUGCCUUGCCAGCACAGUAUUUCUUAAGGGGGUACUCCACUAUUGAAUCUGGUAUUUCCUUCCAAGUCAGCCAUACCCAUUCUGUAAAUUUGGUGACUGGCACUUUCCCACUGGACUAAGCUCAUAGUUAAAU